GACGAACGCUGGCGGCGCGCUUAACACAUGCAAGUCGAACGGAAAGGCCUGCUUUCCCUUGUGGAUUGCGGGUACUCGAGUGGCGAACGGGUGAGUAACACGUGAGUGAUCUGCCCCCAACUUGGGUAUAAGCCUGGGAAACUGGGUCUAAUUCCCGAUAGGACUGCAGGGUGGUGCCUGUGGUGGAAAACGAUUUUCUAGUGGUUGGGGAUGAGCUCGCGGCCUAUCAGCUUGUUGGUGGGGUAAUGGCCUACCAAGGCGGCGACGGGUAGCCGGCCUGAGAGGGUGGACGGCCACAUUGGGACUGAGAUACGGCCCAGACUCCUACGGGAGGCAGCAGUGGGGAAUAUUGCACAAUGGGCGGAAGCCUGAUGCAGCGACGCCGCGUGGGGGAUGACGGCCUUCGGGUUGUAAACUCCUUUCGACCGCGAGGAAGCCACCUGGUUGGAAGGGUCGUGACGGUAGUGGUAGAAGAAGCACCGGCUAACUACGUG
rnacentral:rRNA from 1 species